rnacentral:rRNA from 1 species
CGGCACCUCAAGUGGUCAGGAUGAUUAUUGGGCCUAAAGCAUCCGUAGCCGGCUCUGUAAGUUUUCGGUUAAAUCUGUACGCUUAACGUACAGGCUGCCGGGAAUACUGCAGAGCUAGGGAGUGGGAGAGGUAGACGGUACUCGGUAGGAAGGGGUAAAAUCCUUUGAUCUAUUGAUGACCACCUGUGGCGAAGGCGGUCUACCAGAACACGUCCGACGGUGAGGGAUGAAAGCUGGGGGAGCAAACCGGAUUAGAUACCCGAGUAGUCC